AUGAGGUUCUCUGCUCAGCUCCUGGGGUUGCUAAUACUCUGGGUCCCAGGAUCCACUGGGGACACAGUUUUGACCCAGACCCCACUCUCUCUGUCUGUCAUCCCUGGAGAGUCGGCCUCCAUCUCUUGCAAGUCUAGUCAGAGCCUCCUACAUGGUAAUGGAAACACCUAUUUGCAUUGGUACCUGCAGAAGCCAGGCCAGUCUCUUCAGCGCCUGAUCUCUAUGGUUUCCAAUCGGGCAUCUGGGGUCCCAGACAGGUUCAGUGGCAGCGGGUCUGGGACAGAUUUCACCCUUAUAAUCAGCAAGUUGGAAGCUGAGGAUGUUGGAGUUUAUUACUGCAUGCAAGCUACACAAAGUCCCCCCACAGUGGUACAGCCCAGAACACAAACCACCCUGCCUGGGGUGGUAACUGCCCCAAAUUGUGGGAAUUCUCUGGGGAAGAGCACAGCAGAAUCUCUGAGGCUGUGUAAGAGGAAGACACUGGAGAACUCAGGGGAAUGGGAUGCAGCUGAGGGCUCUGGGCCAUGCUUGCUGGGGUACACCUCAGGCACCACACAUUAA